AACAGGAUUAGAUACCCUGGUAGUCCAUGCCGUAAACGUUGGGCACUAGAUGUGGGGGACAUUCCACGUUUUCCGCGUCGUAGCUAACGCAUUAAGUGCCCCGCCUGGGGAGUACGGCCGCAAGGCUAAAACUCAAAGGAAUUGACGGGGGCCCGCACAAGCGGCGGAGCAUGCUGAUUAAUUCGAUGCAACGCGAAGAACCUUACCAAGGCUUGACAUGCACCGGACGACCUCAGAGAUGGGGUUUUCUUCGGACUGGUGCACAGGUGGUGCAUGGUUGUCGUCAGCUCGUGUCGUGAGAUGUUGGGUUAAGUCCCGCAACGAGCGCAACCCUUGUUCUAUGUUGCCAGCACGUGAUGGUGGGGACUCAUAGGAGACUGCCGGGGUCAACUCGGAGGAAGGUGGGGACGACGUCAAAUCAUCAUGCCCCUUAUGUCUUGGGCUUCAAGCAUGCUACAAUGGUCGGUACAAUGGGUUGCGAAACUGUGAGGUGGAGCGAAUCCCAAAAAGCCGGCCUCAGUUCGGAUUGGGGUCUGCAACUCGACCCCAUGAAGUCGGAGUCGCUAGUAAUCGCAGAUCAGCAACGCUGCGGUGAAUACGUUCCCGGGCCUUGUACACACCGCCCGUCAAGUCACGAAAGUCGGUAACACCCGAAGCCAGUGGCCCAUCCUCGUGAGGGAGCUGUCGAAGGUGGGAUCGGUGAUUGGGACUAAGUCGUAACAAGGUAGCCGUACCGGAAGGUGCGGCUGGAUCACCUCCUU
rnacentral:rRNA from 1 species